rnacentral:tRNA from 2 species
GCGGUGGUCGUCUAGCAUGGUCUAGGACAGCAGCCUGCCACGCUGCUGACCCGGGUUCAAAUCCCGGCCACCGCACCA